rnacentral:pre_miRNA from 1 species
CUCUUACUCCCUCCGUUCGGAAUUACUUGUCUCGGAAAUGGAUGUAUCUAGAACUAAAAUACGUCUAGAUACAUCCAUUUCUGCGACAAGUAAUUCCGAACGGAGGGAGUAUUAU